CCCAGCAUCAGGGGCUUUUCCAAUGAGUCGGCUCUUUGCAUCAAGUGGCCAGAGUGUUGGAGCUUCAGCAUCAGUCCUUCCAGUGAAUAUUCAGGACUGAUUUCCUUUAGGGUGGACUCGUUUGGGAGACAUAAAUAGUUGUUGUUUCAGCCCCCCUCAUCUGGAGUACUUUAUUAUGACAAGUCUGGCAACGUCUCCAAGCAUGGUCUCUGUGGCCCCAGGAAUUUGACCGCUUUAUGGCUUCUUAGCUUAUUUGGCGAUAAAGUGAUGCUUGGAAUAAUGUUUUUCAGAGACUUGGUGCUGUUGCGGAGGAAAGACCCGACCAGGUAGCCAGUCUCUUCCUUCCGGCUGAAAUAAGGACCAGAAGUUUUGACGCUGCCUGGAAAUCUUAAUGUCUCACCUGCAACCCCGGCUCAUUUUCUUUGCAUUUGGGCAUCAACUGAGAAGCCAUGGCUGGCUUCUGAUUUUUCCAUUCUGCCUGUACUUCAUGAGAUGCUACGAUGAACUGAUGCAAGUAUUUUUCUUGGUGCAAAAAAAAAAUUUUUUUUUCUUUAAAUAUUUAAUGCAGUUUCUAGUCUGGCUGAGGAAAGUGGAAAAUUUUAGGCGGUGGUCCCAGCGUUUCAGACCAUUUCCAAACUCUCGCUCUUGAAUAAAAACGGUGUAGGUUCCCUAUUUUAUUUUUUUUUUCUGUGAUUGUUCCCGACUAGCAUUCCCUUUUCAUCACAUUCUCCGGGUCACGGAUGGGGCUGGACUUUCUUUGCAUGUCCGCUGCAUUUUGCCACCUUCAAAACAUGUUCUUUUUACGUGAAGUGACAUUUUGAAACAGCCCUCCUCGGAAUCAGCCUGUCCGUGUUUGCACACGUGCCCCGGGGGAGGGUCUAGGCGUUUGGCGGCAGCUGGUUCUUCUCUCACCUGGGAUGCGCUUGUGUUGGCCGGGACUCACGGACCUCAGCAGGAGAGGAAAGCAGCGUUUUGCCAGUAGAAUAAACGCCCACGUCUUUCCAGUUCACUCGUGCGUAGGAUUGAAGGUGGGCGGCUUAAGACGCCUUGCCCGAGCUCAUCAAGUACCAGACAGAUGGACAGAGUCAUCCAGAGCAUGUGAGAGCAUUGCUACAUUACUGCAAAAAUAAUAAAAAAGAAAACCCACAAAAACGGGAUACUCUCGACUCAGCACGCAUGUGCUCAAUUUGUGUUUCGUUGGCAUCUGUCUUCCAUAAUUUUCCUUCUAAGAAUAUCAAUUGCAAUAAACGCGCGUUACUUUAUCGGGCGCUCAGACCUGAACGCCACGUCCACCGGAGAUUGAGACGGUCCGAUGGAAAUCGCACUGACGUUUAUUGGACAUACAGACGGUCUGGUGGAAAUCGCACUGAUGUUUAUUGGACAUACAGACGGUCCGAUGGAAACUGCACUGGUAAUUUAAACGCAGGCGAAUGAAAGCUGUAAGACUAAGAAAAGCACAGAGAGAAGUCUCUAUCCCCUGAAGUCUCUGGGGUGGUCCACAGGGACCUGGUGUGCCCCACUGUCUUUGCCAUAUUGCAGACCUGUUCUCGUAAGGAUGUCCGCACUUACUGCUUGUGGAAAGUUGGCCUCGUUAGCUGAUAUCGGUGCUUCUGUCCCCUUAGGCAUCAGCGGGAGAUGGUACAAGCCCGUCCCAGGAUGUCGGUACCAGCCCAUCCCAGGAUGUAGGUGACUUCACGGCAUACCCAGUCUCUUAGAGGCUCGCAGAAUCUUAGUCCCCCAACCAGGGAUUGAACGCAGGCGACCACAGUCAACGUUGAGAGUCCUCACCACUGGAUCGCCACGGAACUCCCCUACCAAGCGCUUUUAAAAAGACUGAGAGGAAGAAGGUUCAUCUGGACUGUUUUUCCAGAUUCCACAAAUGCAUCAGAGAAACAGACGGCCACGAUCCAGCCACGUGCCCAUCUUCGCUAAACCGUGAUGGGACUGGUAAUCAUUAAAAAAGCGUAACCCUUCAGAAUUGUGACAGCUUGCUUCUCUCGUGGCCGAAAACAUCAGGUCCUGGUCUCUAGAAUCUGGGGAUGUGAUGUUUGUUGGAGAAGUAGUCCCUGCAGGGCUCAGCCCUGCCUGAAAAUCCCAGCUAUUCAAGGUGAGCAAAAGACAAGAAGAAUCAGGCUUCCCAAAAGAGGAAUCACGUAGGCAGAUUCUUUACCAGCUGAGCCACCAGGGAAAUCCAAGAGAUGGAACCACUUAAGAAGUCAGGGGCUGUCUUGGUGUUCCUGCUUGGGUAGAUUUCUUCCAAGUGGUGAGUGACAGGCCCAGCAUCCUUGCCAACCUGGUCCUCUGCCAUCUGCAACACCUGCCUCCCAAGGUCCUCAGGUGUGCAUUGGUCGCUUCUUUGCUGUUGCUGUUUUUGUGUCUGUUGCUUGAACGCCAUCCAGCUGAAAGAGCUAAAACGCAUGCAUGCUUACUACCCAUGGGAGGUUUCCAUGGUGUUCAUCCUUCCCCUGGCUGGAACGUCACCACACGAGACACAUCAAAUGCUAAGAGCAGCUGGGAUGUGUCCUCAAGCUGAGAUGAGCAUCUAAGUCUGCUAUCGCUGAGUAUGGUAUCAGUGAGUAGCUGCUGUGAAAAUGAAAGUGUCAGUUGCUCAUUGGUGUGUGACUCUUUGCGAUCUCAUGGACUGUAGCCCAUCAGGCUCCUCUGUCCAGGGGGAUUCUCCAGGCGAGAAUAUACAGGAAUUUGCAGCUGCUGCCUUCUCCAUGGGGGUCUUCCCAACCCAGGGAUCAAACCCAGGUCAUCUGCAUUGCAGGUGCAUUCUUUACCCUCCGAGCCACCAGGGAGGCGCGCUGCCCGUGGGUAAAAACCGUCUGUUAAUGCCUGUGUGAACAUUGAGAGCACGCUUCCCUUGCCUCCAGGAUUAUACAUUGGUACAGUUGCUUUGGAAGUCUGUUGGGCGCCCUCUUGAAAAGCCAAAGGUGACCCAGAAGUUGCGCUCGUGGGUAGAAACUCUGCAGAAUCCGUUGCCUGUGUGUCCACGUGUUAGCCGUUCUCAGGAGUCGUGUCUCUGACGUUGAAACCUGCAAUCAACCUGCGUGUUUGUGGGCAGGAGAGCGGGAUAUACCGAGUGUGAAAUGAUCGCACAAUGGAAUGUUGUACAGAAGUAAAGCGAGUUGGCUCAGGAUACAAGCCGCACCCUCGUGGAUUUGAUUUUAUUUUGCUUUUAUAAUUUCUGUUUCUUUGUUUUUGGUUGCAGUGGGUCUUUGCUGCUGUUCGGGGGAGUUUGUCUGGUUGUGGCUUUCUUUUAUAAUUUCUAUUUCUUUGGUUUUGGUUGCAGUGGGUCUUUGCUGCUGUUUGGGGGACUCUGGUUGUGGCGAGCGGGAGCGGCUCUCGGUUGCCGCGCGUGGGUUUCGCAUUGCGGUGGCUUCUCUGGUUGUGGAACACCGGCUCUGGGUGCCCGGGCUCAGUCGCUGUGAUGCAUAAGCUAGGUUGCUGCAUGGCAUGUGGAAUUUUCCCAAACCAGGGGUCAAACCCUGCGGUAGGCGCACUAGAGGUCCCUCCCUGGCGUCUUGUGUCACAUCCCCCUUUGCCCCAGUCCCCAGGUCAACGGCAGCGUGUCGCUCAUCGGCACUGUGGGAGCAGGCCGUCGAUGAUUGGACCGGGUCCUCCCGCCCUGGGGAGGGCAGUCCGCUUUGCUCAGUGUCCUGGUUCACAUGUUCAUCUCGUCCCACAGGGCCCAACUAUAGACCACAGGAAACUGCAUUCAAUAGUCUGUAAUAACCUGUGAGUGGAAAAAGAGUCUGAAAAAGCAUGUAUGUGUCACUGAAGCACUUUGCUUAUGCUAGGAGCUAACACAACGAUGUGAAUCAGCCAUGUAAGUGCAGUGAAAAUGCACGUGUCUGUCGCUCAGUCGUGUCCGACGCUUUGCGACCCCGUGGACUGUAGCCCCGCCAGGCUCAUCUGUCCGUGGAGUUCUCCAGGCAAGAAUGCCUGGAGGAGGGAGUGUCAUUCCGUCCUCCAGGGAUCCCUCGUCCUGCUCCAGGGAUAGAACCCAGCUCUCCUGCAUUGCAGGCAGAUUCUGCACCGUCUGAGCCACCAGGGAUGCCAACAUUAUAAAUAAACGACACUUCAAUGUGAAAAAUUU